rnacentral:tRNA from 1 species
GUUUCUGUCGUGUAGUGGGUUAUCACCAUUGCCUAAUACGCGAAUGGUCCCCUGUUUGAAUCCGGGCAGAAACA